rnacentral:tRNA from 1 species
AGAAAGUAUGCAAGAACUGCUAAUUCAUGCCCUCCAUACCUACCCGUAUGGCUUUCUU